rnacentral:rRNA from 1 species
AACGAACGCUGGCGGCAUGCCUAACACAUGCAAGUCGAACGAGACCUUCGGGUCUAGUGGCGCACGGGUGCGUAACGCGUGGGAACCUGCCCUUAGGUUCGGAAUAACUCCCCGAAAGGGGUGCUAAUACCGGUUAAUGUCUUCGGACCAAAGAUUUAUCGCGUUGGGAUGGGCCCGCGUUGGAUUCGCUAGUUGGUAGGGUAAAAGCCUACCAAGGCGACGAUCCAUAGCUGGUCUGAGAGGAUGAUCAGCCACACUGGAACUGAGACACGGCCCAGACUCCGACGGGAGGGAGCAGUGGGGAAUAUUGGACGAGGGGGGAAAGUCUGAGCAAGCAAUGCCGCGGGAGUGAUGAAGGGCUUAGGGUAGUAAAGCUCUUUUAGACGGGAUGAUAAUGACAGUACCGGGAGAAUAAGCACCGGCUAACUACGUG